rnacentral:rRNA from 1 species
UACAGAGGGGGCAAGCGUUGUUCGGAAUUACUGGGCGUAAAGGGCGCGUAGGCGGCCAACUAAGUCAGACGUGAAAUCCCCAGGCUCAACCUGGGAACUGCGUCUGAUACUGGAUGGCUCGAGUUCGGGAGAGGGAAGUGGAAUUCCAGGUGUAGCGGUGAAAUGCGUAGAUAUCUGGAGGAACACCGGUGGCGAAGGCGGCAUCCUGGACCGGUAUUGACGCUGAGGCGCGAAAGCCAGGGAGCAAACGGG